UUGUAUUUUUUUCUUUUACAUUGGUUUAUUAAUGCUGUAUAUUUUUCCACAUUAUUAAAAAGAUUGGUUUAGUGAACUUCACGAAAUUUUGUUCCUAUAUUAUUGUUCACAAGAUAUGUGAAUAUAACGUUAGAAUAGCGGAAUUUUUCUUUGGGAAUUUGUUGGGAACGUUAUCAGUGGAACACACCCGCGCGGUUUCCUCUUGCACGACAUGCAAUCAUGCAAUGAGGUUGAUGACGCAUGUUAUUUUCGCUUUUCCCCGCAAAAUAUUCAGUGUGUCCCAGAGAGGGAGAAGCUGUCGUCCCGUUGCUCCACUGAUUAUUUCCCCUAAUUACAGAUUGAGUAAAGUGCUGAAUCUUACCGUGUGGUC